UUCUUCUUCGAUGAAUAACCUAGUAGCCGUAGUAGAUGAAUCACCAUUUCCAACACCCCCCCCCCGGAAGUUGGAGGGGUUUGAAGAAAUCCCCAACUUGGAGAGGAUGGAAUAAUGAGAUGGCCAAGAUAGUGGUUUGGUAAAGAUAUCCACGAUCUGAGAAGAUGCCAGAAUAUAGGAGAGAGAAAUUAGUCCGGCGAUGAACUGUUGCCGGACAAAAUGGCAAUCGAGUUCAACAUUUUUCGUUCUCUCGUGGAAGACGGGAUUACGCGCGAUAUGGAUUGUUGAUUUGCUAUCUGAAUGUACCGGAAUAGGUAACUCCGGCGGAGAUCCCAAAUCAACGAGCAGUCGAUGUAACCAUGUAAGCUCAGCUACGACACGUCUCAUGGAUCGAUACUCAGCUUCAGCUCAGAAGAGAGAGAUUGAAUCUUGUUUCUUCGAUUUCCAAGAGAUCGAAGAUCCUCCAAGAGUGAUGAAGAGGCCACUAACAGAUCUGCGAGAAUCAACACACGAACCCCAAUCCGCAUCACAACAAGCAACAAUCUUUAUAGAAGAAUCAGCCUUAAAAAGCAAACCUUGACCCGGAUUUGUUCGAAGAUAUCGAAGAACUCGAAGUGUAGCUGAAUAGUGAGGAACUCGAGGGCUUUGCAUGAACUGAGAAAGAUGAUGCACUGCAUAAGUUAUGUCAGGUCAACUAUAAGUGACGAUCAAGUGGUGAAGACAGAAGAGGAAGGUGAGAUCAAUCAAACUCUGAAAGAAGAUCCAGAGUAUAAUUUCGCUGUGUGAUGAUCAAACCAUGAGAUUCCCUCAAGAUCUCAAGACCCAAAAAAUAAUGUCUUUCCACAGAUCUUCAGCAGUUUUAGAAUAAAUGACAGAUUCAGCUAUCUCUUUAGAAAGAGAAUUCAAUAGCCAAGAUGUGACCAUGUCAUCACAUCUAUGCCAGAGUUUGAAGUCUGAAGAUGUAGAAUCAGGAAUUUUGAAAGAUCCAUCAAUAAAAGAGGUUUUGUUUUUGGCUGAGAGGGCAAUCAGGAUGGAUCUUCUUCAACCUGCAAACCCUCUUCCUUCAAAAAUAGAAUUUACCAGAGACAUUCCUGGUGACAAUGGGUAGAGCUGAAGCUGCCGGUAAUAAGGAUUGCCCAGUUAAAAUUAAACUUAUGCGCCUCCAGUAUAUGUGUUGAUCAAUACUCAAGACUCUUGUUAAGGUAACUAACUGUUGUAUGUAGUUGUUAGUGUCUUGUUUGUUCACUGAUGAUAUGGUGUGGGUUUUACCAGUGAGAAUGAUCUGAAUCAUAUCAUUGUACAUGAGUACUGUUUAAAUUCUAUGUUUUCUACUAGCGUGUGCAGCAUUCUUAGUUGCUGCUUAGAAGUAAUUUAAAAAUAUAUAUAUAUAUAUAGAAUGAUGGUGAAGAUUAAGUGGUUGAUCAAGGGCUUUGAGUUUCUACCGGAUAUUUGAGUUGAGACUAGAUCUACUUUUCUUCAGUAAGAAGUAGCUGAAAGCAUACUUCUUGCCAUCUCUUAAUGAGUUCCUAGGCAAAAUUUUGUACUCUACGUUUCAUAUUGUAUUCUUGCUUCACCAAAUUAGCUUGGUAAUGUCUUAUCGGGAAAAAAGGGGCUUGGGAAGACACUCUAGCCUCCUAGUUCAUUUUAGUGGCUGCAGAGUACCCGUUGCUUCCUCUCAUCCCUAGUUGUUCUGUUGACAACAAACAAGGAUGUCUCUCUUGGUGAUGCUGCCCGACUCUUGUAUAUUGCUAUAUCUGUCCUUUACAGGAACUUUGCCAACAACCUUUUUGUCCUUCACCUCUGUCUUAAAAGAAAAGAUUUCUAAAAUAUGGGUUUGAAAAUUUUCAAAUGAGCAGAGUAUCUUCAGAAAUUAGUAUCAGGAUAGUGAACUCCUACUGGGUAUCUCUACCGGCGUUAUUGUUAACUCUAAAAA